rfam:Loxodonta africana unplaced genomic scaffold scaffold_27, whole genome shotgun sequence.
GCAGUGAUGACCUAGUGGUUAAGGUGUUGGGCUUGAAAUCCAGUGGGAUCUCCCUGCGCAGGUUCGAACCCUGCUCGUUGCG